AAUAGAACCUGAAACCGUGUGCUUACAAGUAGUCAGAGCCCGUUAAUGGGUGAUGGCGUGCCUUUUGUAGAAUGAACCGGCGAGUUACGAUUUGAUGCAAGGUUAAGCAGUAAAUGUGGAGCCGUAGCGAAAGCGAGUCUGAAUAGGGCGUUUAGUAUUUGGUCGUAGACCCGAAACCAGGUGAUCUACCCUUGGUCAGGUUGAAGUUCAGGUAACACUGAAUGGAGGACCGAACCGACUUACGUUGAAAAGUGAGCGGAUGAACUGAGGGUAGCGGAGAAAUUCCAAUCGAACCUGGAGAUAGCUGGUUCUCUCCGAAAUAGCUUUAGGGCUAGCCUCAAGUGAUGAUUAUUGGAGGUAGAGCACUGUUUGGACGAGGGGCCCCUCUCGGGUUACCGAAUUCAGACAAACUCCGAAUGCCAAUUAAUUUAACUUGGGAGUCAGAACAUGGGUGAUAAGGUCCGUGUUCGAAAGGGAAACAGCCCAGACCACCAGCUAAGGUCCCAAAAUAUAUGUUAAGUGGAAAAGGAUGUGGCGUUGCCCAGACAACUAGGAUGUUGGCUUAGAAGCAGCCAUCAUUUAAAGAGUGCGUAAUAGCUCACUAGUCGAGUGACACUGCGCCGAAAAUGUACCGGGGCUAAACAUAUUACCGAAGCUGUGGAUUGUCCUUUGGACAAUGGUAGGAGAGCGUUCUAAGGGCGUUGAAGCAUGAUCGUAAGGACAUGUGGAGCGCUUAGAAGUGAGAAUGCCGGUGUGAGUAGCGAAAGACGGGUGAGAAUCCCGUCCACCGAUUGACUAAGGUUUCCAGAGGAAGGCUCGUCCGCUCUGGGUUAGUCGGGUCCUAAGCUGAGGCCGACAGGCGUAGGCGAUGGAUAACAGGUUGAUAUUCCUGUACCACCUAUAAUCGUUUUAAUCGAUGGGGGGACGCAGUAGGAUAGGCGAAGCGUGCGAUUGGAUUGCACGUCUAAGCAGUAAGGCUGAGUAUUAGGCAAAUCCGGUACUCGUUAAGGCUGAGCUGUGAUGGGGAGAAGACAUUGUGUCUUCGAGUCGUUGAUUUCACACUGCCGAGAAAAGCCUCUAGAUAGAAAAUAGGUGCCCGUACCGCAAACCGACACAGGUAGUCAAGAUGAGAAUUCUAAGGUGAGCGAGCGAACUCUCGUUAAGGAACUCGGCAAAAUGACCCCGUAACUUCGGGAGAAGGGGUGCUCUUUAGGGUUAACGCCCAGAAGAGCCGCAGUGAAUAGGCCCAAGCGACUGUUUAUCAAAAACACAGGUCUCUGCUAAACCGUAAGGUGAUGUAUAGGGGCUGACGCCUGCCCGGUGCUGGAAGGUUAAGAGGAGUGGUUAGCUUCUGCGAAGCUACGAAUCGAAGCCCCAGUAAACGGCGGCCGUAACUAUAACGGUCCUAAGGUAGCGAAAUUCCUUGUCGGGUAAGUUCCGACCCGCACGAAAGGCGUAACGAUUUGGGCACUGUCUCAACGAGAGACUCGGUGAAAUCAUAGUACCUGUGAAGAUGCAGGUUACCCGCGACAGGACGGAAAGACCCCGUGGAGCUUUACUGUAGCCUGAUAUUGAAAUUCGGCACAGCUUGUACAGGAUAGGUAGGAGCCUUUGAAACGUGAGCGCUAGCUUACGUGGAGGCGCUGGUGGGAUACUACCCUAGCUGUGUUGGCUUUCUAACCCGCACCACUUAUCGUGGUGGGAGACAGUGUCAGGCGGGCAGUUUGACUGGGGCGGUCGCCUCCUAAAAGGUAACGGAGGCGCUCAAAGGUUCCCUCAGAAUGGUUGGAAAUCAUUCAUAGAGUGUAAAGGCAUAAGGGAGCUUGACUGCGAGACCUACAAGUCGAGCAGGGUCGAAAGACGGACUUAGUGAUCCGGUGGUUCCGCAUGGAAGGGCCAUCGCUCAACGGAUAAAAGCUACCCCGGGGAUAACAGGCUUAUCUCCCCCAAGAGUUCACAUCGACGGGGAGGUUUGGCACCUCGAUGUCGGCUCAUCGCAUCCUGGGGCUGUAGUCGGUCCCAAGGGUUGGGCUGUUCGCCCAUUAAAGCGGUACGCGAGCUGGGUUCAGAACGUCGUGAGACAGUUCGGUCCCUAUCCGUCGUGGGCGUAGGAAAUUUGAGAGGAGCUGUCCUUAGUACGAGAGGACCGGGAUGGACAUACCUCUGGUGUACCAGUUGUCGUGCCAACGGCAUAGCUGGGUAGCUAUGUGUGGACGGGAUAAGUGCUGAAAGCAUCUAAGCAUGAAGCCCCCCUCAAGAUGAGAUUUCCCAACUUCGGUUAUAAGAUCCCUCAAAGAUGAUGAGGUUAAUAGGUUCGAGGUGGAAGCAUGGUGACAUGUGGAGCCGACGAAUACUAAUCGAUCGAAGACUUAAUCAA
rnacentral:rRNA from 1 species